UACAGAGGUCUCGAGCGUUAGGCGGAAUCACUGGGCUUAAAGCGUGUGUAGGCGGAUCGUUAAGUACCUUGUGAAAUCCCACGGCUUAACCGAGGAACUGCCCUCCAAACUGCUUGGCUUGAGUCCGGGGAGAGGUGAGUGGAAUUCCCAGUGUAGCGGUGAAAUGCGUAGAUAUUGGGAGGAACACCAGUGGCGAAGGCGGCUCACUGGGCCGGAACUGACGCUGAGGCGCGAAAGCGUGGGGAGCAAACGGG
rnacentral:rRNA from 1 species